GCAAGUCGAGCGGUAACAGAAAGUAGCUUGCUACUUUGCUGACGAGCGGCGGACGGGUGAGUAAUGCUUGGGAACAUGCCUUGAGGUGGGGGACAACAGUUGGAAACGACUGCUAAUACCGCAUAAUGUCUACGGACCAAAGGGGGCUUCGGCUCUCGCCUUUAGAUUGGCCCAAGUGGGAUUAGCUAGUUGGUGAGGUAAUGGCUCACCAAGGCGACGAUCCCUAGCUGGUUUGAGAGGAUGAUCAGCCACACUGGGACUGAGACACGGCCCAGACUCCUACGGGAGGCAGCAGUGGGGAAUAUUGCACAAUGGGCGCAAGCCUGAUGCAGCCAUGCCGCGUGUGUGAAGAAGGCCUUCGGGUUGUAAAGCACUUUCAGUCAGGAGGAAAGGUUAGUAGUUAAUACCUGCUAGCUGUGACGUUACUGACAGAGGAAGCACCGGCUAACUCCGUGCCAGCAGCCGCGGUAAUACGGAGGGUGCGAGCGUUAAUCGGGAUUACUGGGCGUAAAGCGUACGCAGGCGGUUUGUUAAGCGAGAUGUGAAAGCCCCGGGCUCAACCUGGGAACUGCAUUUCGAACUGGCAAACUAGAGUGUGAUAGAGGGUGGUAGAAUUUCAGGUGUAGCGGUGAAAUGCGUAGAGAUCUGAAGGAAUACCGAUGGCGAAGGCAGCCACCUGGGUCAACACUGACGCUCAUGUACGAAAGCGUGGGGAGCAAACGGGAUUAGAUACCCUGGUAGUCCACGCCGUAAACGAUGUCUACUAGAAGCUCGGAACCUCGGUUCUGUUUUUCAAAGCUAACGCAUUAAGUAGACCGCCUGGGGAGUACGGCCGCAAGGUUAAAACUCAAAUGAAUUGACGGGGGCCCGCACAAGCGGGUGAGCAUGUGGUUUAAUUCGAUGCAACGCGAGAACCUUACCUACACUUGACAUACAGAGAACUUACUAGAGAUAGUUUGGUGCCUUCGGGAACUCUGAUACAGGUGCUGCAUGGCUGUCGUCAGCUCGUGUUGUGAGAAUGUGGGUAAGUCCCGCAACGAGCGCCACCCUUAUCUUAGUGCUAGCAGUUAAUGCUGAAAACUCUAGAGACUGCGGUGAUAACCCGGAGGAGGUGGGGACGACGUCAAGUCAUC
rnacentral:rRNA from 1 species